rnacentral:rRNA from 1 species
CUACGGGAUGCUGCAGGCGAGAAAACUUUGCAAUGUGCGAAAGCACGACAAGGUUAAUCCGAGUGGUUUCUGCUAAAGGAACCUUUUGACAGUCCUAGAAACACUGUUGAAUAAGGGGUGGGCAAGUUCUGGUGUCAGCCGCCGCGGUAAAACCAGCACCUCAAGUGGUCAGGAUGAUUAUUGGGCCUAAAGCAUCCGUAGCCGGCUCUGUAAGUUUUCGGUUAAAUCUGUACGCUCAACGUACAGGCUGCCGGGAAUACUGCAGAGCUAGGGAGUGGGAGAGGUAGACGGUACUCGGUAGGAAGGGGUAAAAUCCUUUGGUCUAUUGAUGACCACCUGUGGCGAAGGCGGUCUACCAGAACACGUCCGACGGUGAGGGAUGAAAGCUGGGGGAGCAAACCGGAUUAGAUACCCUUGUAGUC